GGGCAUUGCCCUAGUAACGGCGAGUGAAGCGGCAACAGCUCAAAUUUGAAAUCUGGCUCUUUUAGAGUCCGAGUUGUAAUUUGCAGAGGGCGCUUUGGCUUUGGCAGCGGUCCAAGUUCCUUGGAACAGGACGUCACAGAGGGUGAGAAUCCCGUACGUGGUCGCUGGCUAUUGCCGUGUAAAGCCCCUUCGACGAGUCGAGUUGUUUGGGAAUGCAGCUCUAAAUGGGAGGUACAUUUCUUCUAAAGCUAAAUAUUGGCCAGAGACCGAUAGCGCACAAGUAGAGUGAUCGAAAGAUGAAAAGCACUUUGGAAAGAGAGUCAAACAGCACGUGAAAUUGUUGAAAGGGAAGCGCUUGCAGCCAGACUUGCUUACAGUUGCUCAUCCGGGCUUUUGCCCGGUGCACUCUUCUGUAGGCAGGCCAGCAUCAGUUUGGGCGGUAGGAUAAAGGUCUCUGUCACGUACCUCUCUUCGGGGAGGCCUUAUAGGGGAGACGACAUACUACCAGCCUGGACUGAGGUCCGCGCAUCUGCUAGGAUGCUGGCGUAAUGGCUGUAAGCGGCCC
rnacentral:rRNA from 1 species